GUUCCUAACCCAGCCAAGAGUGCUCCUGUCCAAGCCGUGGGCUGCCAGCUUCUCCAGGAGUGUGCUGUGGGAGACAGUAUCAAAGGCCUUGCUGAAGUCUAAAUAGACCACAUGCACAGCCUUUCCUGCGUCCACCAGGCGGGUCAGCUGGUCACAGAAGGAGACCAGGCUGGUCACACAUGGCCUACCCUUCGUAACCCCUGAUGACUGGCUCUGAUACCCUGGCCAUGCUGUGUCACAUUGGCCAGUUUCCAAUCAUCUGGAACCUCGCCAGUGAGCCACGACUCCUGGUAAAUGAUGGAGAGCGGCUUGGCAACCUCAUCUGCCAGCUCCCUCAUCACCCUAGGGUGAAUCCCAUCUGGUCCCAUUGAUUUUUAAAUAUCCAAGUGUCCCAGCAGUUCUCUGACUGCCUCCUCUUGGAUAAUAAGAGGACCAUUCUGAUCCCUGGCACCACCUACCAACCCUUGAGGACAGUUGUCAUGAGGAUAAGCUGUCUUACCACUAAAGACUGAGGUGAAGAAAACAUUAAGCACUUCCGCCUUUUCCUCAUCUUUAGUAACUACUUUGCCUGCUCCAUCCAAUAAGGAACCGAGGUUGGUUAUACCCUUCCUUUUACCAUUAAUAUAUUUGUAAAAACUUUUUUUAUUAUUUUUAACAGAAGUUGCCAAGUUGAGUUCAAACUGAGCUUUGGCCUCCCUAAUUUUUUUUCUACAUGCCCUGGCAGCACCCUUAAAUAAUUCCUCAGAAAUCACUCCCUCCUUAAAAAGAUGAUACAUCUUUUUCUUAUUUCUAAGUUCCUUCAAAACCUCAUUACUCAUCCAGACUGGACGUUUGCCUCGUCUACUCAUCUUUUGGCACACAGGGACAGUCUGUUCUUGUGCCCUCAAGAUCUCUGCUUUGAAGCACACCCAUCUCUCCUGGACUCCUUUGUUUUUAAAGGCUGAUUCCCAAGGAAUUCUCUGGACAAGUCUUUUAAAUAGGCCAAAAUCUGCCCUCCGGAAGUCCAGUGUAGAGAUCUUAUUGAUAUUCCUCCUUAUUUCACCAAUUAUUGAGAAUUCUAUAGUUUCAUGAUCACUAUGCCCCAAGCGGCCUACAACCUCCACAUCACCUACCAGUCCAUCUCUAUUUGUAAACAAUAGGUCUAACAUAGCCCCUCCCCUGGUGGGUUUGCCCACCAGUUGUGACAAAAAGUUAUCCUCCACACAUUCUAAAAACCUUCUAGAUUGCUGGUUUUUUGCUGUAUUGAGUUCCCAGCAGAUGUCUGGUAGGUUGAAGUCACCUACAAGAACAAGGGCUGAUGAUCCUGAGACUUUGUUCAGUUGUUUAUAGAAUAAGUUGUCCACCUCUUCAUCCUGGUUGGGUGGACGAUAGCAGACUCCCAGUAGGAUGUCAGCCUUGUUGGCCUUCCUCUUAAUUUUUACCCAUAGGGACUCAACUUCAUCAUCAUUAGUCUCAAUACCUGUGACAUCCAAAACCUCCCUAAUAUAAAGGGCCACCCCUCCACCUCUUCUCCCUUUUCUGUCUUUUCUGAAGAGCUUGUAGCCAUCCAGUGCAGUGCUCCAACUAUGUGAGUCAUCCCACCACGUUUCUGUGAUGGCAACUACAUCAUAGUCCUGCUGAUGCACCAUGGCCUCCAGCUCUUCUUGUUUGUUACCCAUGCUGCGUGCAUUGGUAUACAUGCAUCUCAGCUGGGCUGCUGAUUUCUCCCCUAACACAGUCUUACCACCCCUGGGCCUGCUUCCAAACAGCCCAGCUGCAUCCCCUUCCCCCUUCAAACCUAGUUUAAAGCCCUCUCAAUAAGGUCUGCCAGUUCAUGAGCUAAAAACCUCCUACCCUUAACAGAGAGAUGUACCCCAUCUGAUUCCAAUAGAGCAGGUGCCAUAAAGGUUGCUCCAUGAUCAAAGAAUCCAAAAUUUUGCCGAUAACACCAACCCUUGAGCCAUUUGUUAAUGAUAUGAGUUUUCCUAUUCCUUUCAUUAUUUUUCUCUGCCACCAAAGGGACUGAGCAGAACACUACCUGUGCACCUGUCCUAUCAACCACUUGACCCAGUGCCCUAAACUCCCUUUUAAUCACCUUGACACUCCUCUUUUCAAUCUCAUCACUGCCAGCUUGGAGUAUCAGCAGUGGGUAAUAAUCAGAGGACUGAAUCAGCCUAGGAAGUUUCUCAGUGAUGUUUCGUACCUGGGCCCCAGGGAGGCAGCAGACCUCCCUGUGGGAUGGGUCAGGUCGACAUACGGGGCCCUCUGUCCCCCUCAGAAGGGAAUCACCCAUCACGAUUACCCUUCUUUUUUUCUUGACAUUAGAGGUGGUAAUCCUCUUUUUAGGCAAGUCAUAAUUGGGAGGCUCACUGGGUAGAUGAUUUUCCUCUAAAUCAUCUCUCUGGCUGUCUAGAUCCAGUGCCUCAUACCUAUUCUGAAGUGGCACCUGGCUAGGGGAUGGGGGGCAGGAGGGGUUUUUUGUUAUUACCACCCCGAGCAGGGACCCAUUUCCACUCCCCUUCAUCUACCAGGUGCCCCUCUAUUGCCUGAGAGUGAAAGACACAUGAGCCCUCUGACUCCUGGUGGGCCUCCCUUAAAGAUGUAAGGGCUGAACUCCACCAGUCUAUUUCCUUUUCACUAUCCCUGAUACUCCUUAACCUUUCAACUUCUUCCCUAAGCUCAGCCACUAGCGAAAGGAGGCCAUUCACUUGUUCACACCUCAGGCAGGCCUUCUCCAUAACAUCCCCUGAAGCCACUGAUAAGCUCAAACACUCCGGGCAGGAAUGGGUCUGUACGGACACAUCCUUUUUGGAGGGCUCUACUUGGUCAUAUACACUUGUACCAACCACGGAUUUUGACCGGGUUAAAACCAUUGCUUAGGAGAAAGCCCAAGAUCAAUCAACCAAUAAAACAAUACUUCACCAAACUA